rnacentral:rRNA from 1 species
UACGUAGGGGGGCUAGCGUUGUCCGGAAUCAUUGGGCGUAAAGAGCGUGUAGGCGGCCAGGUAGGUCUGCUGUGAAAACUCGAGGCUCAACCUCGAGACGUCGGCGGAAACCAUCUGGCUAGAGUCCGGAAGAGGAGAGUGGAAUUCCCGGUGUAGCGGUGAAAUGCGCAGAUAUCGGGAGGAACACCUAUGGCGAAGGCAGCUCGCUGGGACGUUACUGACGCUGAGACGCGAAAGCGUGGGGAGCAAACAGG